GAAAUGCGAUAAGUAAUGUGAAUUGCAGAAUUCAGUGAAUCAUCGAAUCUUUGAACGCACCUUGCGCUCCUUGGUAUUCCUUGGAGCAUGCCUGUUUGAGUAUCAUGAAAUCUUCAAAGUAAAUCUUUUGUAAACUCAAUUGGUUUCUACUUUGGUAUUGGAGGUCUUUGCAGCUUCACACCUGCUCCUCUUUGUUCAUUAGCUGGAUCUCAGUGUUAUGCUUGGUUCCACUCGGCGUGAUAAGUUAUCUAUCGCUGAGGACACUGUAAAAGGUGGCCAAGGUAAAUGCAGAUGAACCGCUUCUAAUAGUCCAUUGACUUGGACAAUACUUUUAUGAUCUGAUCUCAAAUCAGGUAGGACUACCCGCUGAACUUAAGC
rnacentral:misc_RNA from 1 species